UCGCCUCAACUCUUGUGAGACUACCCCCUAAAUUUAAGCAU
rnacentral:rRNA from 1 species